GUAGGUGGCAAGCGUUGUCCGGAAUUAUUGGGCGUAAAGCGCGCGCAGGCGGUUCUUUAAGUCUGAUGUGAAAGCCCACGGGCUCAACCGUGGAGGGUCAUUGGAAACUGGAGAACUUGAGUACAGAAGAGGAAAGCGGAAUUCCACGUGUAGCGGUGAAAUGCGUAGAGAUGUGGAGGAACACCAGUGGCGAAGGCGGCUUUCUGGUCUGUAACUGACGCUGAGGCGCGAAAGCGUGGGGAGCAAACAGGAUUAGAUACCCUGGUAGUCCACGCCGUAAACGAUGAGUGCUAAGUGUUAGGGGGUUUCCGCCCCUUAGUGCUCCAGCUAACGCAUUAAGCACUCCGCCUGGGGAGUACGGCCGCAAAGGCUG
rnacentral:rRNA from 1 species